rnacentral:tRNA from 1 species
GGGAUUAUAGUUAAAUCUAACAUUUAGUUUGCAUCUAAAAAAUAUUGAAAAUAAUCAAUUUAUCUCA